UAAUCAGUGGAGAAAGGAGGAGUGGCAGAGAAGGGUCCAGGUUUUUUUCUUGUGAAUUUAAUUAAAGGAAAAUUUCUGGGUGCUUUUCUGCUGUACCCAUCUACACACAGAGAAAUG
rnacentral:precursor_RNA from 11 species